UGCGGGGUAGAGCAGUUGGUAGCUCGUCGGGCUCAUAACCCGGAGGUCGCAGGUUCGAGUCCUGUCCCCGCUAC
rnacentral:tRNA from 2 species